rnacentral:rRNA from 1 species
AAAUUGAAGAGUUUGAUCAUGGCUCAGAUUGAACGCUGGCGGCAGGCCUAACACAUGCAAGUCGAACGGUAACAGGAAGAAGCUUGCUUCUUUGCUGACGAGUGGCGGACGGGUGAGUAAUGUCUGGGAAACUGCCUGAUGGAGGGGGGAUAACUACUGGAAACGGUAGCUAAUACCGCAUAACGUCGCAAGACCAAAGAGGGGGACCUUCGGGCCUCUUGCCAUCGGAUGUGCCCAGAUGGGAUUAGCUAGUAGGUGGGGUAACGGCUCACCUAGGCGACGAUCCCUAGCUGGUCUGAGAGGAUGACCAGCCACACUGGAACUGAGACACGGUCCAGACUCCUACGGGAGGCAGCAGUGGGGAAUAUUGCACAAUGGGCGCAAGCCUGAUGCAGCCAUGCCGCGUGUAUGAAGAAGGCCUUCGGGUUGUAAAAGUACUUUCAGCGGGGAGGAAGGGAGUAAAGUUAAUACCUUUGCUCAUUGACGUUACCCGCAGAAGAAGCACCGGCUAACUCCGUGCCAGCAGCCGCGGUAAUACGGAGGGUGCAAGCGUUAAUCGGAAUUACUGGGCGUAAAGCGCACGCAGGCGGUUUGUUAAGUCAGAUGUGAAAUCCCCGGGCUCAACCUGGGAACUGCAUCUGAUACUGGCAAGCUUGAGUCUCGUAGAGGGGGGUAGAAUUCCAGGUGUAGCGGUGAAAUGCGUAGAGAUCUGGAGGAAUACCGGUGGCGAAGGCGGCCCCCCGGACGAAGACUGACGCUCAGGUGCGAAAGCGUGGGGAGCAAACAGGAUUAGAUACCCUGGUAGUCCACGCCGUAAACGAUGUCGACUUGGAGGUUGUGCCCUUGAGGCGUGGCUUCCGGAGCUAACGCGUUAAGUCGACCGCCUGGGAGUACGGCCGCAAGGUUAAAACUCAAAUGAAUUGACGGGGGCCCGCACAAGCGGUGGAGCAUGUGGUUUAAUUCGAUGCAACGCGAAGAACCUUACCUGGUCUUGACAUCCACAGAACUUUCCAGAGAUGGAUUGGUGCCUUCGGGAACUGUGAGACAGGUGCUGCAUGGCUGUCGUCAGCUCGUGUUGUGAAAUGUUGGGUUAAGUCCCGCAACGAGCGCAACCCUUAUCCUUUGUUGCCAGCGGUCCGGCCGGGAACUCAAAGGAGACUGCCAGUGAUAAACUGGAGGAAGGUGGGGAUGACGUCAAGUCAUCAUGGCCCUUACGACCGUGGCUACACACGUGCUACAAUGGCGCAUACAAAGAGAAGCGACCUCGCGAGAGCAAGCGGACCUCAUAAAGUGCGUCGUAGUCCGGAUUGAGUCUGCAACUCGACUCCAUGAAGUCGGAAUCGCUAGUAAUCGUGGAUCAGAAUGCCACGGUGAAUACGUUCCCGGGCCUUGUACACACCGCCCGUCACACCAUGGGAGUGAGUUGCAAAAGAAGUAGGUAGCUUAACCUUCGGGAGGGCGCUUACCACUUUGUGAUUCAUGACUGGGGUGAAGUCGUAACAAGGUAACCGUAGGGGAACCUGCGGUUGGAUCACCUCCUUA